rnacentral:rRNA from 1 species
AUUGAACGCUGGCGGCAUGCCUUACACAUGCAAGUCGAACGGCAGCACGGGUGCUUGCACCUGGUGGCGAGUGGCGAACGGGUGAGUAAUACAUCGGCACAUGUCCUGUAGUGGGGGAUAGCCCGGCGAAAGCCGGAUUAAUACCGCAUACGAUCUACGGAUGAAAGCGGGGGACCUUCGGGCCUCGCGCUAUGGGGUUGGCCGAUGGCUGAUUAGCUAGUUGGUGGGGUAAAGGCCUACCAAGGCGACGAUCAGUAGCUGGUCUGAGAGGACGACCAGCCACACUGGGACUGAGACACGGCCCAGACUCCUACGGGAGGCAGCAGUGGGGAAUUUUGGACAAUGGGCGAAAGCCUGAUCCAGCAAUGCCGCGUGUGUGAAGAAGGCCUUCGGGUUGUAAAGCACUUUUGUCCGGAAAGAAAUCCUUGGCUCUAAUACAGUCGGGGGAUGACGGUACCGGAAGAAUAAGCACCGGCUAACUACGUG